UACAGAGGUCUCAAGCGUUGUUCGGAUUCAUUGGGCGUAAAGGGUGCGUAGGCGGCGCGGUAAGUCGGGUGUGAAAUCUCGGAGCUUAACUCCGAAACUGCAUUCGAUACUGCCGUGCUUGAGGACUGGAGAGGAGACUGGAAUUUACGGUGUAGCGGUGAAAUGCGUAGAUAUCGUAAGGAAGACCAGUGGCGAAGGCGGGUCUCUGGGACAGU
rnacentral:rRNA from 1 species